UUAUCCGAAGCCGCCAGAUUGCGGAGGCGGGUGCUGUGGGGCGUGUUCCCUCAUUCAGGGCACCUACCAACGCUUGGGGUCUGUGGAACCUGUUGAUGGAAAUGAAAGAUUUGCUGGGCGGGGCCGAGAAAUGUGGGAGCCGUAGUAUCACCGCCCAUCUGUGACGUCAUAACACCUCAUACAUGAGAUACGUAGACCUGGCAGAGCCAGGGCGAAUCUUGCCAAAGGCCAAUGUGACGUCACAGCGCCUCAGUGCCUUGGAAGGUGGCAUGGAUUCCUUUGAGCCAGCUCUCCAGACACCAAGACUGGGGGGGAGGGGCGGUCAAUACCAUCACAGGUCCCACAUUCUUGGAACUGAUAUUAUCUCUAGGAGCCCUAGACCAGCCUGCCGCAUUUCUUCUCCUCCACCCCUCCCACCCUAGGCUAGCUCUGACUCCCGAAGCCUAGAGGUCUGCUUGAAAAAAUGGUUCAUCCUACACCCCAGACCCUUGGCUACAUUUCGGAAGGAGGAGGUGGAAACUAAACCUCUUCUUGGGAAGAAACCCCUGUGAGCUUUUCUUUCUCCACGGCGCUACCGAUCUUCUCCCAGAGCACCUGGAAGCUCCAGCCUGCCUCAAGGGUUUCUCGUGCCUUCUACCUGUUCAGCAAAGAGGUCCAGCCGAAUAGCCCCCACUCCCUUGCCCCUCAUUGGACCUGAUGGCCUAGCAGCUUAGGGAAGGGCUCCCACUGAACUCUUCUCUUGUCUCCUUCACUCCCGAAAGCUGGGCACCUGAGACCAAAGAAGCUUAACAUCUGAGGACUGGGGCGGAGAAGGAUAGGAUCUUCUAGAAAUCACAGUUCUCUGGGAUCCAGACUCCUGGUCACUCCUCGUGAAGCUGCAGGAAGAAGAGCUGUGAUCUUGCUGGACUAGCGGAGAUCCCCCAGGCCGGCCAAGACCCGGCAGCGCACGGUCCUCAUUCGCAGUGGGCCGUGGGGCCGGUCAAACAGUCUGGCAAGACCAGGCAUUUACAGGAAUGGUGGACAGGGGCUGCGGCGGGGAGUUCUGCGGAGUCCUGGACAGGACGCACUGAGGUGCCCCAGUCCUGGUCCGCCCCCUCCAGGCCUGUCCAGCAGGGGGCAGCGUGGCUCCGAACGUGGAGGACAGGGCUCUCGGCACAGGCCCAGCCAAGGCCACCCGGACAAGUUGGGUUCCGGAACCGCGGAGUUCAAGCCCACAAGGGGAGGGGGGCAUGCCCAGUGGAGGUGGGGAUGGUGCAGUGAAAGGCUACAGCGUUUAACUCGUACAGCCUGGACUUCCUUUCUCAGGCCGCAGGGCUCUGUCUGAGGAUCGAGCUCUGGGUCCCCGUUGCAGGGAAGCGCGGCCCAGCGGUCUCCGCGGCCGCUGGGCUCCAGGCACAGAAGCCCGAGAGGCCGAGCGCUCGGCUUGGGAAAGGCCGCGGGCGCCGCCGCCGGCACCGCCCUGCGGUCAGGACUCUGGAGCUGAGGGAGCCCCGCCCCAAGCAAGAGAGCCCCCGGCGGCCUGGCCUCUAAUUGUGGGAAAACUAGACGCCCCGUGGAAGGUUCAACUUGUGGAGGGAGGACUCAGAUUUCCCCUCCUAAACUUCCCGGGCCUCCCAGGGCGCCCGCCCCCGCCAUUCCCGACAAGGCUUUAAAAACUGUAGGGAAUCUUCGCGGGCGGGGAGCCUUGCUCCGGGCUGGGGAUGAGCCCCAGCCAGAGAAUUGUGUCUGGGGGAUCCUAACGGAGGGAGGGUUGUAGGUUUGGGGCUUUGGGGAAGCAGCAGUAAUUGUGCAUUUGCGGGGGAGUAGGUAUCGGGGCCCCAGGGGCAGUACUGGUCCUGAGGCUAUAAGUGAAGGCACCCCCCGCCCCCAUCAACGCGGAUGUUGGAGGCCAUUUAGGGAAGCCUUUGGUUGGAGAGUACUGGCCGCAAGCUGGACUUCUUGUAAACUACCAGCCCCGUGGAGGUGAGGAGUGGGGACACUGAGACCCUAAAGACCGAAGUGGAGAAGUGACGUACGAAAAUCAACAUGGGGCCGGGUCCGAAGUAGACCAACACAGGAAGAGAGGAGACUUCUCCGCCCAUCUCAACCCUAUAUCACCCCAAGAAGGCCGGGUUUCCAGAACUGGGCAGGUUGGAGCGGGUAGGGAAUCCUGCUCCUCUGAAGGAAAGAAGCCUCCCAGUGUCCUGGGUUUGGGACGGGAAAUACCCAUCCUGCAAUGCCUGUAAAAUAACCGUUUAUUUCAUAUUUUAAAAAACUCCAGUGAUAAAUGUCCGUUACCGAUGGUCAGCAUAAAGUGCCAAUCGCAAUACAAUGCCUUGCUCCUAGCCGGCUGUUCGCUCGUGGUGACGGGGAGGCGGGGCAGGGGAGCCGGAGGCCGGGCCCCCUGCAGCCGCCAUCCGAGUCCCAGGGCCCGCGGCCACUGGCUGCGGGGCAGGGAGGGGCGCUGCGCGGCCCGGCGGUCCCAGGGCCCGGCGGCUGAAGCAGAUACACGGAUUACACUUUCGCAGGCUCCCGGGGUGGGGACGGAGACGGGAGGAGGGGGUGGAAUCUGCAAACGCAUAGAACUUCCUUCCCUCUCCCCUCUCUCUCCGCAGGCAGAGUUACAAGCUUAUAUGGUCAAAGAAAAAAAAUAAUAAAGAAAACGUAUAAAAUAACAAUAGAAAAAGUAAUACUUCUGGGAGAGGCGCCGCUGCGGCUCCGCGGAGCUUUCGUUCUUUUUUUAAAUGCAGUUUCCCUUCCGCCACGGUGGACGCUGGGAGUCUGAGACCCUACUGAAGGAACCCACUGCCGUCACAAAGAUAAUGGAAGCCUCUCUGAUGCAAGGGCUCCCUCCAAAUGGCCUUGGUGGAGACACACAACUUGCUCCAGAAACCAGCAGGAAACUAAAUCCUAUGCAAUGCAACCGACUUAAGCGAGGGCCUCCAGUGUACAGAGCACUAAGAGAGGCAGAAGCACAGGAAGACCAGUGUGUGGAAAUUUACAUCCACACAAGCCUGAGUCAACACUGAAUUGCUCUCUGCUGCGAAGAGAAUGGGAACUUGGAGGAACACUUACACGUUCACGUGAAGAUAAACAAACAGAAAUGCGCAACAACAGAAAAACACAGAUUCACACGUUGUGAAGCAGAGUUGACAACAAGGUGCAAAGACAAACUGAGAUGAUCAGUGUUGUACUGCUGAACAAAAUGCAGGAACUGGUG